rnacentral:lncRNA from 1 species
UUACCGUAGAAAUAUCGAAAUAAAGAUGAAACAGAACAUUACUGAUGAUGCAUGCAUUGUAGAUUUUUGUGCACUGAAGAACAUUACAAUGCUUUUGCCUUCUGUUAAAUCAUGAAAGCAUGAAUCUCUUUCAUUUCAAGUAUGGAUUCCCUUAGAGAUGUUACAGCAUAAUGUGGCAUUUAAAAUGUCAGAUGAGACUGCAAUUUCCAGUGAUCAAAGUGGUGAUUGAAUGCACAAUGAGGAGAUAAACAUUAGGAGAAAACCCAGACAGUAGAAGUUUCUUUUCUGGGAAUAGUUCCACUAUGUCUUUGCAGAUCCAUAUAGCACUAUAUUUUGAGUUGUUUGUCUUAACUUUCUUGACAGACUUGUAAAUAUCCUCAUUCUCACCCAUCAGCAGCUGCAACACAACAUCGUCCUGGAUAUGAACCAGAUAAGUCAUCAGUCAUUCUUUACAGUUUCAAAGAGUGGGUGGGUGGGGAGGGUAGUAUCUAAGUAUGUCUGGAGUUACUUUCAGCAGAAACUUUUUGAUAUUUAUUUUUCUGUUUCUCCUAAUCCUGUUUUGCUAAUAAGAAUUUGAACAAAGUGAUGCCAUCAAAGCUCCCUUCCAAACAAACUCCAGCCAAGCAAACAACCCUUUCGCUGGUGACGUGAGUUGAAUUCAACAAAGCUGUGAAACAAUCUUUGUUCAAUGUGUAUUCUGUCUGCAGUAACAAGGCCUGGCUUGGCUGUUUGGUUCGAGACGAGAAUGCUCUGUUCCAAGUAAUGCAUAUGUGAUCUGACAGACUAUAUCUUUGUGCAGUGUAUUCCCUGCCCCUCUCAAUUCUCCUGCGAGAACAGUUUGCUUCAGCUCAGCAUUAUGGGGAAGCUCUGCGUGGGGUGGUGUUCUGUUCAGUUGUACAACUUUCUCUGAUUACUGUCAUGCUGAAAACCAGGUGGUAAUCCAAGGCCGAUUUUGUAGGACUCAAAAGCACCCAAAGGCUGUAUGAGAAAAGUACAUAGCCUCUGAUUCACAAAGGUCAGGUUAGUAGAGAGGUGCCAUAGACCUGCCAUCUUUCUUUCGGCCUGCAGGAGGCACCGUCACUGGUUGCAAAUGGCCAAAACUUUUAGUUAUUCAUUAUCCUAGUAAUAACAUCCUUCAAGGAGUAUUUUGCCGUCAGUGUAUUGUUCAUCUAUGAGAUAUUAAUUUUGAAGAGUUAAAUAGAGCUGUAGCUGAGAAGUGCCGGCCAUAUGCUGUGUCUAAGCUGUAGUACAGCCAUCUGUCAGUAGCAGGUGCUAUAAGGCUCCAGUGAUUGGCUGAUUCCAUUGCUCUGUUCUAUCUGGAUAUACUGUAUACUCGCACAGAUGUCAGAUGGCAUUUCAAAGCUUUGCACAGUUUGGCAGUAUUUUGAUCUAGUAAAUGGAGGUAAACUUGUAUAUAGGCUGUAUCCAGUUACUCAUUGCAGCAUACAAAGCAUAACAAGCACAGGCAUGUAGCCGAUGAUGCUAGCUCUGCUAAUGUAAGCCAAAUUUGGCUAACUGUUUUGACACAAGCGACACCUCUAAGCAUGAAAAAAUGAUGUGGAAAUGCUAUUUAUCAACAUUUUUUCAGUGUCCUCCUCAGACUGACUCUGGAAAUACCAGAAACCACACACACCCAUUCAAAAAAACUUAUCUUGACAGAAAAAAAAAAAAGAAAAAAAAAAAAAAAGGUUGGUUUCAAUAGCUUAUUUCUUUUUUAUUUUUUUAUUUUUUCAAAAAUUAGUUUAGAAGAAAUUAAGGUUAUAUGUUUGGCAAAUUAGAGACAUAGCUGCUUUGACUGGCAGGUGUGCACUUUAGCUGUUGGCAAUGAGGGUAAAUGUCACCCUAGCUCCACCUUUUUGACUCAUGGUAGGUUGACUGAAAGUUUGGCUGAGUCAGCAUUUACAGGACGCUGUUUGCUGUAAAAAAAACCUUCAACAGUUUUCACAAACCAGUGGGCGUCAGUGCUACAUCCAUGUUAUAUAAAGUCGAUGGUUUGACAUAGUUUACCAAAAGACAGAAAGCCUGUCUCAAGCCAUGUGAAAUCACGUUGACUCUUUCCAGGAUUUUGUCUUAUUAAAAUAGCAUAUCAUUAGGAAUCUGCAUUUCUGUAUCAGGAAUUGGAAGAUAAGUUCCUUGGAAGAGCUCUACUCUGUAGUAAACUAGUACUACUGUCACUAUGGAUAAAAUAUUCAACAUCUGACAAUAGGCUCAACGACAGCUUUCUGGCAAUGGAUAAGCCACAAAUUUAAAGCUCUAAGCUGCUUAUUUAUUAGAAGUUGGGUGUACAAGUAGAGAGUGACUGAUACGUAAGAAAUGAACCCAUUUGUAAAGUUUCUAGUCACUGAAGUGGCCUUUAAAACAGGGAAAAUGGAUCAAUAACAAUAAUGUCCACAGUGGAACCUUUGCAUGGAUACCAAUUGCUCCAGUCAUUUUAUGUCAUGAUGCCUUUGUGACACUAUUUGAGUUUUAUAAAAAAUAAAGGCAGAACCAGCAGAGAGGAAAAUAUUCAUAAUCUCUGUGGCAGUAUGGUAGUCUGAACAGAUAAUGGUUUUCCCAGGAACACAGCUACAGGUCUUGUCUUUUUAUUUGCAACAUUCAACAAUAAAGUUUCUAAGUUUAACUGAAAGAUCAAUACUUGUCAGCACAGAGGCUGGGAAUACUUCAGAAUCUAAUGAUUGAAUUUCUGAGGCAUUAAAAAUGUUCCAAAUCUGUUGCAGCUGAAAAACAAGAUGAGCAGGAGAGGAUGUUGAUUAAAAGUCUCUGACACGCUGAUUCGCACUUCACAGCUACUUGGUUCAAAAAUACUUGAGGUCUCAAGUCAUAAUAAUUAUGAAGUGUAAUGUUCAACCAGAUUAAAGUAGUGAUCUGGUAUUUCUAUCAUUUUAACUGAGAGGGUUUUGGUUCCGACUGACUUCAGAGGCCGUGUGAGGAGUUUUUAUGUGGUGCCGAUCUUACUGAUUACAUUCUGAUGAAACGGAUUGUCUUUCUUAGAGACCAGCACUACCUCUCCCAUGAGCACCAUCACCUAACUCAUGUAAUUCAAAGAUAAUGCUACUGUGCUCCCACCACACCAGUGGGUUCUGAUAUGGGUGCAAGUUCUCAAAAAAUGUUGACAACAUUGGCGCCAGACUUGACAAUGCAAACUGCCUCGGGUGGAAAAUAACAGAUAUACUUGCACUGGACUAGACUAGCACUGGGUGUAUGAUGUGAACCUUAGUCACAAAAAUAAGAUAGUAAACACAGCUGACAAUAUCUCUCAGCCGCCCCCUGCUGGCCACUUUUAUAGACUCAUAUCUUAAAAUCUGUUUUCUAUAAAGAGCAUUCACUGGUGGCAUCUUUGGACCUGUACAGUAAUCACAGCAGAUAACACUGUGUUCUGUGGAGAGCACCAGUUUCUGAACUAUUUUAACAUCAACUGUUAAAUAGUCAUUGCUACAUUUCACUCAAAACCACAUGUGUCACCUCAAGGAGGAGACUAAUCCAAAGUCAGGGGACCGUGUUUAACGUGUAAGAUACUGUAAAUUAAUCCAAAAGUUGUAGGUAGUCCAUGGUUAAUGAUGGGCCACUUGACCUAUAUUGGUUCACAGCACUCCUGUUAAAAAGAAAAUACACCAUGCAAAUAUGGGUGUUUUUUUGUCCAUUUUGCCAAACAGGAACAAGUUACCCAAUCCCAGUUAGCUUACAGGCACUCUAGGAGAUGCUCACAUACUGUCUAUUAUCACAUUUCUGGAAUGAUUGAGUUGUAUCUAACAUGUGCACAAUAAAAAUUUGAUCACUGGCAGCCACAUCAUCACACAUAUUUGUAAUAAUUCAGCUUUUUUUUCAGAGGUAACCAUGAGAAGUACUGCAACAGAGGCAUGAAUGCAUGAUGAAAAUGGCAAAUAAUGUUUGGUUCAGAUAGUUUAAAGACUGUUGUUUAUGUAAAAAUGUCUAUAUAUCUAUCGUAUAUGUUUAAUGAAAAUAUAAACAUAUUGAAC